UAAAUAUCUUACUUUUAUUUUCUCAAAUUUGUUUUAGCUCAAAAAAAUAAUAAUUAUCUUCUCAUUCUCUCAACUUGCUUUUUGAAUAAUAUGAUACUAAUCGACGUAUAUUAUAGUGGAAUGGUUAAGAUUUUUUUUAUUCUUAAUCACAUGUUUCGGAUCACAAAUUUUGUUAAAAGCCUUAUUCAAGUCCUGCAAUGUGUGAAUCUGAAUUUAGUCAGACGUGUGAUAAUAUUAGUAAGGUUGUUGGUAAAGAAACUUGAAAAAAUGGAGAAAUUUAUACAAGUUUCCGACGGAUACCGCCGGAAUUCUGGCCAUGGCUGGUGCCGGAGAACCGCCGUCGGUCACUCUAUAGUAAAGUAUUAUGGAGAAUUGAUGAUGAAGUGACUUGGAUUUACUAAUCAAAGAGACGAUGAACUCACACUUGCUGGUAAAGUAGUCUUCGGAGGAAAAAUAUAUUACAGGACAGAAUGACCUCUCUACUUCACGAGUUAUUACGGGCGUAACUUAAAUGAGCAAAAACUCGCCUUGUUUACGAGUCAUGAAAAAUUAGUAUAACUUUAGUUUAGAUAGUUCACAAGUUUUGUCGGAUUGGUAAAAACUUGCAUGUGUUGACUCGUUAUGAAAAAACCUAUGGAGCUUGUAAACUUACCUUACACAAGCCCAAUCAUCCCAAGCCCAGUAGCCAGAUUCUUAUCCAAGCCCAUAUAAUGAAAUUUCUGAGGCCCAAUAGAUUGCAAAAGCCCAUUAAUAUGCUUUAUACUACUACCUUGAUUCAUUUUUUUUAGCGAUAUUAACUAAAGUUAGUUUGAGUGCACCUUAACUAGUUUUACGAGAUACUUGCUACCCUCUCGUCAGCACGAUAACUUUAUGUAUCAAGGCUUUGAAGAAUAAGGGGUCACUGCUUCUGUUUUAAUAAUAUGAUGAAAAUUUCUAUUGCUAGUGAAUAAGGACAUAUUUUCGACAGUUCUUAUUCAUUAAGAUCGCACUAUAUAUGACCUCAACUAUUAAUCGAGGGAAGUUUUUGGGUAAUUUUACAAAGUUGAAGGGCAAUUUCGGAAUUUUUUCCUUUAAUAUAUUUGAAUUGUAAUUUGUAGCUCACCAUUGCUAAUUACUUAAUUAGCCCACACGUUUUGUCCAUUAUGUAAAAGGAAUCAUAUUAAUCUGUCUUAACAA